CAAUUUGAAAAUUGUAAAAUGCAUUUCUUUUUAUGCAGACCUAUAAUUUAUGUAUGCCUAAAUGACAAUUGGGCAAUAUAUCCUUCUGCAUACCCAAAUACCAUUCCCAACUCUGCAAUUGAAACUAAAUCGAUGAUCUGGAAAUUGGCAUAGGUUUUAAAGAAACAGCAUCUCCUCGAUCGUUGACUUUAGAUGAUGUUUGUCUGGAAAGCAAACUGGUCCGUUCAGCAAAUUCUGCUUCAAAGAGAUUUCAGAUAGAGCUACCAGUCUCGCCUGUCUGAAUCCAGGCUUGCCAUGGACAAGAUGGCAUGUGAUCUCCCUGUAUGCAUAGAUAAAGCCAGAGCCCCCGCCUUUUAAGAUCUCACCCUCACACACCCAGACACGCUGCACUUGACGAUAUAAAGGUGUUGUCUUUGCUUUACACCUACAUGUCAGAGCACAUCUGAUUUUUCCUGAUUUGCUCCAGGUGAUGUGGAUGGGGGUUCAGGAAAUGAUCUAAAUCAGUCUAUCUUUAGAGACUUCUUUGAAAUGACAGGAUCUGCAUCAAAAUGUAGAGGAUCAUUUUCUAGUCUAAGCCUCGUUUCCUGAAUUUCCGUAGCUCUCACUCUACCAAGAAACUGGGACACAUUCAGAUGGUUCUGUUGAAAUCUAACUCCAACUACCUGCGACCCCUUGGCCAUCUUCCAAGAGUGUGGAUCCUUCCAAAACCUCAAUAUCAGCUCAAGUCUGACAUGAUUUCAAGCUCUCAACUUGUGUGUACAUGUGUACGUGUGUACGUGUGUGUGUGUGUGUGUGUGUGUGUGUGUGUGUAAAUGCUAAAAGAAGGCUAUAAAGGAUAGACCCAUUCCUCAUAGUAAUUUGUGGAUCCAACCUUCUGUUUCCCUAGUAACAUUAGAAAGAAAAAUAGCACAAUUUCCCUUCCUCAGGAUUUAAAACAUCACAUUAAAAAAAAAAAUAGAAGUAUCACCUUUGCUUUAUUGAAGCCCCUGAUGAAGAAGAACUUCCUCUUGGUCAAAAGAAUGAUAUUUGAGUUAUACUUGUGGCCCAAAUGGAGACACGACAUCCUGAUCUUUUCCAAAGAUUAGAAUAUUACAGAGUAUUGUUUGUCCCUUUAAGAGGAAACCAGUAUAUAAGGCUUGAGGAGAGAAAUUGAGCUAGAACUAACCAGGAAGCCUCUUGCCAAAGAUGAACUUUCAUUGUAUCUGAAGAUAUUAUACAAGAUGCCAAGGGAGAAAAGCAGUCAAUAGUUCUACCCCAGUGUAAAGGCUAUAGAUCACAUCAAUGAAUAGCAUGGGAAGACAACCCCAAAGGCACUUAGGUUUCGGGAAAACCAGUAGCCGUCCAAUUGGACUUAAGGCUCUCUUAGUAGGUAAGACUCAUUCUGGGGACUACAAACCUAGCCACCCACCUGUGCUGGGAAGGUCAUGGACCUUAUGGAGAAUCUGCUAUUGUCACUUUUCUAAGCCAGUGUCAUUUCCAAUGGAACUCUAAAUACGUAUCCUUAUUCUGAGUAAGACGCUCUUGCCUAUCAUCAAAGAAAAUUUGUUUUUUCAUCAGGUGGAGAGUAUUACAAAAAUCUACAGCAAGUCACACACAGAUAAUAGCUGACUCGGAAGUGCCUAACCCAAACUGAUACAUGUACAGUACAAUUCCUAUACCUCAGGCCCAGGGAACACCCCAGAAAAUGUGGCAGAAAUACUGGAACAACCAGAGACCAGGACAUCUGCUGUGAGAUGGUAUCUUCUAUAUAUUACAAAGAAGCUGUACCCAUGAAAUCUCAAAAAUAUGGUUGCCUGGGCAAGAUCUCCACAAAGAUAACACUAGUUGACAUUCCAGUGUUGAUAGGAGAAAUAUCAAAUAAUCAAAAUAUCAGUUCCCCUAAAGGAAAUAUGGACAAUUAAUGGCUGGUGAGAGAGGAAGAAUCAGGCCUCUCCUUGGGCAAGCCCCUAUGUUAUCCAGUCCCAAGCAGUCA
rnacentral:lncRNA from 1 species